UACGUAGGGUGCGAGCGUUAAUCGGAAUUACUGGGCGUAAAGCGUGCGCAGGCGGUUCGUUAAGUCAGAUGUGAAAGCCCCGGGCUCAACCUGGGAACUGCAUUUGAAACUGGCGGGCUUGAGUGCGGCAGAGGGGGGGUGGAAUUCCGCGUGUAGCAGUGAAAUGCGUAGAGAUGCGGAGGAACACCGAUGGCGAAGGCAGCCCCCUGGGCCGACACUGACGCUCAGGCACGAAAGCGUGGGGAGCAAACAGG
rnacentral:rRNA from 1 species